UGGGGAAUAUUGGACAAUGGGCGCAAGCCUGAUCCAGCCAUGCCGCGUGAGUGAUGAAGGCCUUAGGGUUGUAAAGCUCUUUCGCCGACGAAGAUAAUGACGGUAGUCGGAGAAGAAGCCCCGGCUAACUUCGUGCCAGCAGCCGCGGUAAUACGAAGGGGGCUAGCGUUGCUCGGAAUCACUGGGCGUAAAGCGCACGUAGGCGGAUCGUUAAGUCAGGGGUGAAAGCCUGGAGCUCAACUCCAGAACUGCCCUUGAUACUGGCGAUCUCGAGUCCGGAAGAGGUAAGUGGAACUGCGAGUGUAGAGGUGAAAUUCGUAGAUAUUCGCAAGAACACCAGUGGCGAAGGCGGCUUACUGGUCCGGUACUGACGCUGAGGUGCGAAAGCGUGGGGAGCAAACAGG
rnacentral:rRNA from 2 species